CAGCCGCCGCGGGAAUACGUAGGGUGCGAGCGUUAAUCGGAAUUACUGGGCGUAAAGCGUGCGCAGGCGGUUUUGCAAGACAGGCGUGAAAUCCCCGGGCUCAACCUGGGAAUGGCGCUUGUGACUGCAAAGCUAGAGUGCGGCAGAGGGGGAUGGAAUUCCGCGUGUAGCAGUGAAAUGCGUAGACAUGCGGAGGAACACCGAUGGCGAAGGCAAUCCCCUGGGCCUGCACUGACGCUCAUGCACGAAAGCGUGGGGAGCAAACAGGAUUAGAUACCCCUGUAGUCCCUGUCUCUUAUAU
rnacentral:rRNA from 1 species